rnacentral:rRNA from 1 species
GACAGAGGUGCCAAGCGUUAGGCGGAAUCACUGGGCUUAAAGCGUGUGUAGGUGGAUCGUUAAGUGCCUUGUGAAAUCCCACGGCUCAACCGUGGAACUGCUUGGCAUACUGGCGGUCUUGAGCCAUUCAGGGGCUACUGGAACAAACGGUGGAGCGGUGAAAUGCGUAGAUAUCGUUUGGAACGCCAAAGGUGAAAACAGGUAGCUGGGGAUGUGCUGACACUGAGACACGAAAGCCAGGGGAGCAAACGGG